UGAAGAUUUUGGAGUGUAUCGUGCUCUCUUGUGCCACUCAGAUGUUCAGAUGAGGACACAUGAAUCACAGGGAUCUGGUGACAGGUGAGAGUGUCACUGAUCAGGCAGCAUUUAUCGCCCAUCCCUAAUUGCCCAGAGGACAGUUCAGAGUCAACCACAUUCCUGUGGAUCUGGGAGUCACGUGGAGGCCAGACCAGGUCAUCUGCUCAUUCAUUUGAAAUGACGUCAUUGUUGCUGGAGAACUUGCAGCAUUGUUCCAAAGCAAAGACCACAUUGAAGGAGAGCACAAUUCCAACAUUUUUAGCAAAUUCAGCAAGAACAGCAAGCUCCAAAGUGGUUGCAGCAGAUCCAUCUAGGAAAUAGAGUCGAAUGUUGAGAUUCUGCACUUCCUGUAAUUUUCGCCUGCUCUCAUAAGAUUGUGCAGAGGAAAGAUAUCCUGGACCAUCAUCGCUGAACUGUGUAAUAUGGUGGAACAAAACUUGGGCAUUGAGUGGUCAUCUCAUCUGAGUGGCUAUCAGGGUUAUAGUAGCCCUGAAUUUUUAUGCCAGGGCUCAUUUCCAGGAGCAACUCUACGUCAACAUGGAGUCUCCCAGUCCUUGGCCCCAGAAAUGCACCAGGGAUGUAACAGAUGCCAUUUUCUCUAGAUCAUAGAAGGCUAUAUCCUUCCCUAUGAUAAUGUGAUUCAGGCAUUCCAGGCAGCAUAUUCUCUAUCAUUGCUAGCUUCUCCCAGAUGCCCCACAUUGCUUUGAAAGUACCGUAACAUCAACCUGUACAA